rnacentral:siRNA from 1 species
ACUCCAAACGAUACAAUCAUUUGU